AUGAGAAAAGCCUUGAGCCCCCGAUACCAAGGACUCUCGACCUACGAGAAGGAAUACUUGGUAGUUAUUGUGGCCAUAGACCAGUGGCAUCCUUACAUCCAGCAUGCCGAAUUCACUAUCCUUACUGAUCAGCGCAGCUUGACGCACCUGAUAGAGCAGAGGCUUUCGACACCAUGGCAGCAAAGGGCUUUCAUGAAGCUGCUGGGACUCCAAUACGUCAUCAAGUACAAAAAAGGAGCUGAGAACACGGCAGCGGAUGCCUUGUCCAGGGCGAAUACAACUGAAGUACUGCACACCAUCAGUGUGUGCCAACCAGCAUGGCUCGAAGAUGUCGUCAACAGCUACAACACCAACCCACAAGCGCAAAAAAUCUUGGAGCAGUUGGUUGUUCAAGAAGAUCCAAAAGGACGAUUCCAACUACAAAAUGGGCUGCUCCGCUUUCGUGGAUGCAUCUGGCUGGGAGGAACCACAGAGAUGCAACAGCGCAUCAUCGCGUCUUUCCACGACAGCCCAAUGGGUGGCCACUCCGGGUUCCCAGUGACCUAUCGCCGCAUCCGCAGGUUAUUUGCUUGGCCCAAGAUGAAGGCGCAUGUGCAGCAGUAUGUGCGGUGUUGUCAGGUGUGCCAGCAGGCCAAACCAGAUCGCACAGCGUCGCCAGGGCUGUUAAUGCCAUUGCCAAUCCCCAAAGAAUCGUGGGACCUCAUUACCAUGGACUUCGUGGACGGAUUGCCGCAAUCAGGUCAACACAACUGCUUACUUGUGGUGGUCGACAAGAGAACUCGGUUUGCUCAUUUCCUUCCUCUGGCUCAUCCUUAUACAACACCUAAAGUGGCUACCAUCUACAUGCAACAACUGUACAAGAUGCAUGGUUUCCCUGGGGCUAUCGUAUCUGACCGCGACCCAGUUUUCACCAGCCACUUUUGGCAAGAACUGUUUAAGUAUGCAGGUACAGAAUUGCGCAUGAGUACGGCGAACCAUCCGCAGACUGACGGCCAAACCGAGAGGGUAAACCAAUGCAUCGAGACUUACCUACGCUGCUUCGUUCAAGCGUGCCUGAAGCGAUGGAGUUUCUGGGUACCCCUGGCGCAGUUUUGGUACAACUCGUCGCACCACUCUUCCAUCGGGAUGACGCCAUUCAAGGCCAUGUUUGGGAGAGAGCCAAGGCACUGGGGGAUCACUGCAUCAACAUCGUCGUCAGUGCCAGCACUGCAAACCUGGCUUGAAGAACGGGCAGUUAUGCAAGAUCUCAUCCAACAG
rnacentral:rRNA from 1 species